ensembl:lncRNA
ACCCAAAAUCCCACUAGCAUGACCCAAAAUCCCAUUACCAUGACCCAAAAUCCCAUUACGUGGCUCAAAAUCCCAUUACGUAGACCCAAAAUCCCAUUAUGUGGCUCGAAAUCCCAUUACGUGUCUCGAAAUCCCAAUAACGUACCCCAAAUCCCAUUACGUAGACCCGAAAUCCCAUUAACGUGGCUCGAAAUCCCAUUACGUAGACCCAAAAUCCCAUUACGUGGCCAUGGGAAGCGACCACUGCCCCAUCACGCUCUACCUGGCCCUAUAGGGGCCUAGAGGGGGCGAUCCCAGCCAAAAUCCCAUUAGCGGGACUCGAAAUCCCAUUACGUAGACCCAAAAUCCCAUUACGUGGCUCGAAAUCCCAUUACCGGGACCCGAAAUCCCAUUACGUAGACCCAAAAUCCCAUUACGUGGCUUGAAAUCCCAUUCCGUGGCUCGAAAUCCCAUUCCGUGGCUCGAAAUCCCAUUACGUGGCUCGAAAUCCCAUUACGUAGACCCAAAUCCCACUAACGAGACCCAAAAUCCCACUAACAAGAUCCAAAAUCCCAUUACGUGGCUCGAAAUCCCAUUAACAAGACCCAAAAUCCCAUUACAUAGACCCGAAACCCCAUUGCGUAGCCCCCAAAUCCCAUGAAUGUACCCCAAAUCCCAUUGCGUAGCCCCAAAAUCCCA